rnacentral:rRNA from 1 species
GUGCCAGCAGCCGCGGUAAUACCGGCAGCCCAAGUGAUGGCCGAUCUUAUUGGGCCUAAAGCGUCCGUAGCUGGCCGCGCAAGUCCAUCGGAAAAUCCACCCGCCCAACGAGUGGGCGUCCGGUGGAAACUGCACGGCUUGGGACCGGAAGGCGCGACGGGUACGUCCGGGGUAGGAGUGAAAUCCCGUAAUCCUGGACGGACCGCCGAUGGCGAAAGCACGUCGCGAGAACGGAUCCGACAGUGAGGGACGAAAGCCAGGGUCUCCAACCGGAUUAGAAACCCGGGUAGUCC